GAUGAACGCUGGCGGCGUGCCUAAUACAUGCAAGUCGAGCGAACAGACGAGGAGCUUGCUCCUCUGACGUUAGCGGCGGACGGGUGAGUAACACGUGGAUAACCUACCUAUAAGACUGGGAUAACUUCGGGAAACCGGAGCUAAUACCGGAUAAUAUAUUGAACCGCAUGGUUCAAUAGUGAAAGACGGUUUUGCUGUCACUUAUAGAUGGAUCCGCGCCGCAUUAGCUAGUUGGUAAGGUAACGGCUUACCAAGGCAACGAUGCGUAGCCGACCUGAGAGGGUGAUCGGCCACACUGGAACUGAGACACGGUCCAGACUCCUACGGGAGGCAGCAGUAGGGAAUCUUCCGCAAUGGGCGAAAGCCUGACGGAGCAACGCCGCGGGAGGGAUGAAGGGCGUCGGAUCGUAAAACUCUGUUAUUAGGGAAGAACAAAUGUGUAAGUAACUAUGCACGUCUUGACGGUACCUAAUCAGAAAGCCACGGCUAACUACGUGC
rnacentral:rRNA from 1 species